CGCAUGCGCGCUGGCGGUGUGGGCUGUGGCCACGGAGUUUGUCUGGUGGUGGAAGGAGGGGGUGGCUGCGCCCGCCAUGCUGGGGCUCGUGUUUUUCUCUUCCGCUUCAGGCUUUGGUGAAAUGGGCUGAGGAAGGGGGAAUUGAACUGAGAGACUCCUUGUCCGUCCCCCAUUUCUUUCUUUUUUUUUUUUUUUUGAGAUGGAGUCUCGCUCUGUCGCCCAGGCUGGAGUGCAGUGGGACAAUUUUAGCUCACUGCAACCUCCGCCUCCCGGGUUCAAGCAAUUCUCCUGCCUCAGCCUCCCGAGUAGCUGGGAUUACAUGCGCCCGCCACCACACCUGGCUAAUUUUUGUAUUUUUAGUAGAGACGGGGUUUCACCACGUUGGCCAGGCCGGUACCGAACUCCCAACCUCAGGCGAUCCACCCGCCUCGGCCUCCCAAAGUGCUGGGAUUACAGGCGUGAGACACAGCGCCUGGCCUGUCCUUUUUAUGUAUUGCCAUAUUUUCUUUUCUUUUCUUUUCUGUGAGAUCCCUGUUGAGUUUUGUUAACAAGGCUAUGCUGAUAUAAUGUGUGGAGAAGUGUUCUCUCUUUUUCUAUUCUUUGAAAGUGCUAGUGUAGGAUUGAUGUUAUUUAUUUUUUAUGUGUUUGGAAGAAGUCACCAGCCAUCUGGACCUAGAGUUUUCUUUGUGGAAAGACUUUAAAUUACAAAUUCUAUUUCUUUUAUAAAAAUACAACUAUUCAGAUGUUCUAUUUUAUUUCUGAGGUGCUGGGAGAGUACUUGUUGGCAUAUGCUGAUGGUCAUCUGCAUGAUUGGACUCUUCCAUAUCUGCUCCAGAAGCUUGAGUGUCUCCACUACAGGAAGAGUCUUUGUCAUUACUGGUUUUAGAAAAGCUGUCCUCAGAGCCACCAUUUUUCUUGAUGCCUUUCACGGUGACAACGGCCAGCACUUGCCCUGAGGACAUCUCUUCAGGAAGCUCUGCUACAAGAAUGGCGAAGCAAUCUUUUUUCUUGGCAUCUCAUUUUGCCCUGUGAAGAGAUAGGGCUGCUUCUGGGGACUUUUCACUGAUCACCAUCCCCGCCAGGUCAUCCUUGAAAUCAUUUACCUGGACUCCCUAGGGUGCCUUCACAUUACAUGGGGCCUCCUUUUCCUUGAUGUUGUUGGCAAAUUCUUUCACUGGAUUAUCUAUGGGAACUUUUUCCUUGGCACAUUUGUCGGCAUUCAGAUCCAGUGGAGCAUCCUCAUGUGAGCUUUCGUUGGUGAGGUCUUCCACCAGGGUAUCCUCCAUGGGAACUUUUUCCUUGGCUCAUUUGUCAGCCUUUAAAUUUAGCAAAACAUCCCCAUCUGAGCUUUUGUUGGCAAGGUCUUCCACCAGGGUAUCCUCCGUGGGAACUUUUCCUUGGUGAAUUCAUCAGCCUUCAAUCCAGUAGAGCGUCCUCAUCUGAGCUUUCAUUGGCAAGGUCUUUCACCAGGGUAUCCUCUGUGGGAACUUUUUCUUUCAUGCGUUUGUCAACCUUCAAGUCCAGUGAGGCAUCCUUAUCUGAGCUUUCGUUUCCAAGGUCUUCCACCAGGGUAUCCUCCAUGGGAACUUUUUCCUUGGCACGUUCUUUGGCCUUCAAAUCCAGUGGGGUGUCCUAAUCUGAAAUUUCAUUGGCGAGGUCUUCCAGAGGAUCCUCCAUGGCACCUUUUUCCUUGGCACAUUCAUUGGCCUUCCAAAGCCAUGGGGCAUUUUCAUCUGAGCUUUCACUGGCUUGGUAUCCUUCCAGGAUAUCUUCCAUGUGAACACUUGCCUGAGUUGCUGAGUCUGUCAAGUGAACAGCAAGAACCUGUUCAGAGGAAGUGUCGCUGGUCUGCUCCCCUGCCAGGUUGUCCUUGAAAUCUUCAGAUGGCUACCUGCCAGGGUGCACAUGAGGAUGACACCUGCGGUGGCACAUUCUCUCUCUAAAACUGCGCUGGCAGACCAUGGAUUCGCCAUGGACAGUGGAGUCUCCUGAAACCUGAGUAUCCACUGCUGCAUCUUGGAGGCAAUACUCUAGCCUUCACGAGCACCCUUCUACUCCAGUCAGGCUGAAGUCUCCCUCGCUGUCACCGCCACAACUGUAGGAGGUGAGCCACAGAGCCGUGCCAUCUGCAAGCUCCAAACUCCACCUCACCACAGGUGACUCCUCCUUCACUUUCUCCUCCAGCCUUUCUCAGAGUGGCUGGGCGGGCAAAGCCAGAAAAGCCACUCUGGCCACACUGCAGCCUCUGUUGCCACCACCAACUGCAGUGAGGCAAGCCAUGGUGCCACAGGCUCCAACCUCCAGCAUGUGGCAGGUGAUUCCCCUUCCCCUUCUCCUGGUUCUCUAAGCCAGGAACAGAGUAGCUCGGUGGGCAGAUACAGAAGAGCCUAAAAUCUGUUGUACUAUUUUAAGAAAAACUUCUCUUGCCUGUAAUCCCAGCACUUUGGGAGGCCGAGGUGGGUGGAUCACCCAAAGUCAGGAAUUCAAGACCAGCCUGGCCAACAUAGCAAAACCUCAUCGCUACUAAAAAUACAAAAAACAAAAAACAAACAAAAAAAAAUUAGCUGGAUAUUGUAGUGCGUGCCUGUUAUCCCUGCUCUUUGGGAGGCUGAGGCAGGAGAAUCACUUGAACCUGUGUUAGAAUCAAAAUGCUUGUUUCUUGGUGUCGCAAGGAAAAAUUAGCAUUCAGACAAAAAGUUUUCUCAGCAAGGCAAUUUUACUUUCUGUAGAAAGGGUGCUGCCCAUCAGCAAUCCUGCCAGGAGAGCACAAUGAACAAAGAAAGGCAGGAAUAUUUAUCCCUUAUGCAUUGGGUCCUUACUGCUGUGUCCUGUCUCCAUUGGUUGGAGCUGGACCUCACAGUCUAAGCUAAACCCAAUUGGCUAACAACUUAAAAAACUUUCUUAAAUAGGUAAAGGCAAUGGAGAACAAAGGAAAAGAGGAAGUUGCUUGCCAAAAGACUUGGAGAAGUAAUAACAUUUCCAAAUAAGGAAAGGGCAUAAGCUGUGAGCUGGGACAUGCUUGAGCACGUCGAGACCAAAUAUCUUGGUUAACGUACAAGGACACAGAAGGUACUUAUUUCCUUAUAUCUAACAACUACAUAAGAUAUGGUUUAAAAAAGAGUUACUAACACAAAGCAAAGAGGCUUAAAAAAAGUUAAUUAAAAAUAUUAUUUCUAACACUUGUGAUUUAUUAUUUAAUAAAAACUUUAAAGAGAAACUUUUUUACUUUCCACAACCUAGAAGGUGGAGGUUGCUGUGAGCCAAGAUGGCACCACUACACUCCAGUCUGGGUGACAGAGGGAGACUCCAUUUCCAAAAUAAUAAAGUAUGUUUUUUAAAAAAAACUUUUCUGUAGUCUUGAAAUUUUAUUUAUUUAUUUAUUUAUUUAUUUUUUGAGACAGAGUCUCACUCUGUUGCCCAGGCUAGAGUGCAGUGGCAUGAUCUGGGCCCACUUUAGACUCAACCUCCUCGUCUCAAACAAUCCUCCCACCUCAGGCUUCUGGGUAGCUGGAACCACAGCACACACCACCACACCUGGCUACUUUUUUGAUUUUUUUUUUUUUUUUGGAGACAGAGUCUCACUCUGUCCCCCAGGCUGGAGUGCAGUGACAUGAUCUUGGCUCACUGCAACCUCUGCCUCCCGGGUUCAAACAAUUCUUUUACCUCAGCCUCCAGAGUAGCUGGGACUACAGGUGCAGGCUGCCAUGCCCGGCUAAUUUUUCGUAUUUUAGUAGAGACAGGGUUUCACCGUGUUGCCCAGGCUGGUCUCGAACUCCUGAGCUCAGGCAAUCUGCCUGCCUUGGCCUCCCAAAUUGCUAGGAUUACAGGCGUAAGCCAGCAUGCCUGGCCUACUUUUUAAAUUUUUUUGUAGAGAUGAAGACUCCCUCUAUUGCCCAGGGUGAUCUCAAACUCGUGGGCUCAAGUCAUCCUCCUGCCUCAGCCUCCCAAAUUGCUAGGAUUAUAGGUGUAAGCCACUGUGCCUGUCCUGAAAUUUUUAAAAUAAAAUUUUAAAUAAACAUUUUUAAAAUGAAGAUAUUGCAUGGGUGUACGUGGGUAUCAUAUGGAUGUAUCAAGCUCUUUGGGUUUCUUAAAACUUUUCAGGAUUAAAAAUACCCUGAUUUUGCAAAGCACUUCAUAAUUAGAAUCACUUGUAGAAGUUUACCAAAGGUGAAAUACACAACGCAUUUAGCAUUCAUACAGCUCUUUGGUAUUAAAAAUCACAUUUUGGGCCAGGCGCAGUAGCUCAUGCCUAUAAUCCCAGCACUUUGGGAGGCCGAGGCAGGUGGAUCAGCUGAGGUCAGGAGUUCGAGACCAGCCUGGCCAACAUGGCCAACAUGGCGAAACCCUGUCUACACUAAAAAUUCAAAAAUUAGCUGGACGUGGUGGCACGUACUUGUAGUCCCAUCUACUUGGGAGGCUAGGGCUGGAGAAUCACUUGAACCUCAGUGGCGGAGGUUGCAGUGAGCUGAGAUUGUGCCAUUGCACUCUAGCCUGGGCAACAGAGCGAAACUCCAUCUCAAAAAAAACAAAAAAAGAAGAAGAAAAUCACAUUUUGGGCCAGGUGUGGUGGCUCAUGUCUAUAAUCCUAGUACUUUGGGAGGCAGAGGCGGGCGGAUUGCCUGAGCUCAGGAGUUCGAGACCAGCCUGGGAAACAUGGCGAAACCCCGUCUCUACUAAAAAUAGAAAAAUUAGCUGGGUGUGGUGGUCCGCGCCUGUAGUUCCAGCUAUUCCGGAGGCUGAGGUGGGAGGAUCAUUUGAGUCUGGGAGUUGGAGGUUGCAGUGAGCUGAGAUUGUGCCACUGUACUCCAGCCUGGAUAACAGAGCAAGACUCCAUUCUCAAAAAAAAAAACCAAAAAAACAAACAAAAAAAACCCCAAAAAUCAAAACCACAAUAACAACAAAAACAUUUUGGAGUUUAUAAUGGAGAGGUUUACCAACCACUUUGGGAUAGAUUGAAAAAUACUCUGAAGUUUGCAGAGCACUUACUUUGAGACAAAAACACAAUUUGGGGUUUAUGAGGGUGAAGCUUUCCAAGCACUUAGAAUUAAAAACCCUUCUUGGUUUAUAAAACAUUUUGGUGCUCAUAGAAACACUUUGAUUGACUAUUAUGUAGUUAAAAAAAAAAAAGAAAACCACUUUGAUACAAAACCCUCUAGGGUCUACUAAACCCUUGCAGAUGUAUUCUGAGGUCAAAAAUCUCAUUUCUGACAGUUGGAUUGCCCCACUUGAGAGAUGGCAAAACUGAGGCUCAGAAGGAGGAAGUUCCACACAGAGGAGUAAGAGGGUCAGUUCCUCUUCUUGUCCUCCUAAACUACAGAAAAUGUUAGGGCCUCACCAGGCAUGGUGGCUCAUGCCUGUAAUCCCAGCACUUUGGAAGGCCAAGAUGGGCAGAUCACUUGAGGUCAGGAGUUCAAGACCAGCCUGACCAACAUGGAGAAACCCUGUCUCUACUAAAAAAAUACAAAAAAUUAGCCGGGCGUGGUGGCAGGUGCCUGUAAUCCCAGCUACCAAGGAGCUUGAGGCAGGAGAAUUGCCUGAACUUCGGAGGCGGAGGUUGCAGUGAGCCAAGAUCGUGCCACUGCACUCCAGCCUGGGUGACAGAGUGAGACUCUUCUUUAAAAAAGAAAAAAAGAAAAUGUUUGGGCCUGGACACUUUGACGGCGGGGCACGUCCUAACCUUCAAAUCACCCUCGAAGCUCCCCUCCGCUGGUUGAAUGGAUGCCACCACAUUCUCGGAGAUCAGCACCUCUCCUGUCUUGUUGUCGGUCAUCUGUGAGGAUCCGAUGAGAGAGUGAGAGCAAACCUGCUUUCCUCCUCCGCCCUCCUUCCCUCCCAACAGAUACUGCAGCACGAGGGAUGGCGGGAUGGAGGGAUCCCAAGGGGACUUCAGGAAGGGCUUCCCUGCAUAGGCACCUUGUCGAUCUGGAGGUGGCUGGAGAGGGUGUUGUUCCCCAGCUGGUG
rnacentral:lncRNA from 1 species